rnacentral:rRNA from 1 species
UACGUAGGGUGCAAGCGUUGUCCGGAAUUAUUGGGCGUAAAGAGCUCGUAGGCGGUCUGUCGCGUCUGCUGUGGAAACUCGGGGCUUAACCCCGGGCCUGCAGUGGGUACGGGCAGACUAGAGUGCGGUAGGGGAGACUGGAAUUCCUGGUGUAGCGGUGAAAUGCGCAGAUAUCAGGAGGAACACCGGUGGCGAAGGCGGCAUCCUGGACCGAUACUGGCGCUGAGGAGCGAAAGCCAGGGGAGCAAACGGG